UAUAAAGUGCCUGAAUAAAGGAUUAUUCUGAUAGAAUAAAUUAUAUAAAUUUAAUAUUUAUCUUUAUAA
rnacentral:tRNA from 1 species